rnacentral:ncRNA from 2 species
UUAGACGAAGCCUGUCUUGGUUCGGGCCUCGCAAGGGGUUCGUGAAAAGGGAACGCGGUGCAAAGCCGCGACUGCCCCCGCAACUGUGAGCGGCGAGCACCUUCGGAAACUGCCACUGUGGCCGCCGGCCGCGGGAAGGCCCGGCGGAUGCAACGACCCGCGAAGUCAGGAGACCUGCCAGGAGCUCACCCUAUCC